rnacentral:rRNA from 1 species
GAUGAACGCUGGCGGCGUGCCUAAUACAUGCAAGUCGAGCGAACGGACGAGAAGCUUGCUUCUCUGAUGUUAGCGGCGGACGGGUGAGUAACACGUGGAUAACCUACCUAUAAGACUGGGAUAACUUCGGGAAACCGGAGCUAAUACCGGAUAAUAUUUUGAACCGCAUGGUUCAAAAGUGAAAGACGGUCUUGCUGUCACUUAUAGAUGGAUCCGCGCUGCAUUAGCUAGUUGGUAAGGUAACGGCUUACCAAGGCAACGAUGCAUAGCCGACCUGAGAGGGUGAUCGGCAACACUGGAACUGAGACACGGUCCAGACUCCUACGGGAGGCAGAAGUAGGGAAUCUUCCGAAAGGGGCGAAAGCCGGACGGAGCAACGCCGCGUGAGUGAUGAAGGUCUUCGGAUCGUAAAACUCUGUUAUUAGGGAAGAACAUAUGUGUAAGUAACUGUGCACAUCUUGACGGUACCUAAUCAGAAAGCCACGGCUAACUACGUG